rnacentral:rRNA from 1 species
GGGACCCGCACAAGCAGCGGAGCAUGUGGUUUAAUUCGAAGCAACGCGAAGAACCUUUACCAGAUCUUGACAUCCAAUUGACCAUCUUUUAAUCGAGAUUUUGCCUUCGGGUACAAUUGAGACAGGUGGUGCAUGGUUGUCGUCAGCUCGUGUCGUGAGAUGUUGGGUUAAGUCCCGCAACGAGCGCAACCCUUGUGUUUAGUUGCAAACAGGUCAAGCUGUGCACUCUAGACAGACUGCCGUGGACAACACGGAGGAAGGUGGGGAUGACGUCAAAUCAUCAUGCCCCUUAUGAUCUGGGCUACACACGUGCUACAAUGGCCGGUACAACGGGCAGCGAAGGAGCGAUCCGGAGCGAAUCCUAAAAGCCGGUCCCAGUUCGGAUUGCAGGCUGAAACUCGCCUACAUGAAGUUGGAGUUGCUAGUAAUCGCGAAUCAGAAUGUCGCGGUGAAUGCGUUCCCGGGUCUU